AGCACCAGCUAUUGGACCUACUCUUUCAGGUUACCUUGUUGAAUAUUUUAACUGGAGAUC
rnacentral:sRNA from 1 species